GUCUACUUUUAUAUAUAUGCUAUGCGAAAGCUACAUUUAGAAUAUAAGGUAAUUAUAAUGUUGUCAUUUAGCGUGCCGUAUAUUUAUGUAUUGAUGUCUGGUACGUAAGUCAACUUGCGUAACGCAUGUACUAUAUUAAGAAAUGUGCGUAACUACACGGGUAAAAAUUGAUCAGGUUGUUCGGCGUUGUUCAAACAGGAGCGAACAAUGUUGUGCUGCACCCCGUGAACAAUAUUGUUAACAAGUUGUUCAACCAUCAGUAC
rnacentral:lncRNA from 1 species